rnacentral:rRNA from 1 species
UACGUAGGGGGCAAGCGUUGUCCGGAAUUAUUGGGCGUAAAGGGCGUGUAGGCGGUAUAGUAAGUCAGGUGUGAAAUUUUGGGGCUCAACCCCAAACUUGCACUUGAAACUGCUGUACUUGAGUACUGGAGAGGUAAGCGGAAUUCCUAGUGUAGCGGUGAAAUGCGUAGAGAUUAGGAGGAACACCAGUGGCGAAGGCGGCUUACUGGACAGUUACUGACGCUGAGACGCGAAAGCGUGGGGAGCAAACAGGAUUAGAUACCCUGGUAGUCCCUGAG